rnacentral:lncRNA from 1 species
AGCUUGCUGAUUAUGAAUUAAAAUAUCAGAGACAACAGAUAGAAAAGGUGAUAAAUGCAGUCCAUAUGGUGCUGUAAGAGAUAUUAGGAAAACCAAGAGAAAAUACAAAGAACCAUGAAGUAAAACUUCACACCAAUACUAUAUACUGGAAACUGAUGUCUUGUUAAAACUCCAGUGUGUUUUAUUUUCACAGGGCAUAGUAAAAAUAGAAAAAUCAUAAGACCAGAACAAGAAAAAUAAAUGGAGGCUACUCUUGGGAUUGGAGACUGGGGAUUACCAAAUGUUAACAACCUAGGUUUUAUUUUUUAUUUGCUUUGUUUUGUUUUAAAAUCAGUUAACAACCUUUAAUAAAAGGGGCUGCCAAACUAUCUCUGGAGAAAUCCCUAGGUCAGUAGAGGAGAACUCUCCUCCUCUUCAGCUUCUUGACAAACAGAAAAGAAAAGCAAAUAUGAUAGCAUUGCUAAGCAAAUCUACUGACAUUGGAAUCAUGCUGCAACAACCAUAUCCCAAAUAUCUGAAAGACUAUUUUCAUUACAAAGGACCCUGAAAGUUGCUUACAAUAUAGGCAUAAGUAGGUUUUUCCACAGCACAAGCUUCCCCCUCCUUUUGGCCUUAAAAGAGUUUUGGAGGCUGCCAUCAUUCAUCUGGACCAUGCAACACGUGGGCAUUACAACUCACUAAUUUAUCCCAAGGACUUGAAAAUGGGAAGCCAUGAGUCUUGUGGCCCUCUCUCUGGUGAAAAUGAUGCACAUUUCUGAUUCUUUAGCUAAAUACUAACAGAUAAUGCCUGAAGGAUCCAAGAAAACACAGAAGCCCAGCAAAGGACCCUCUGUGCUUUGUAUAUACCAUGAUGGAAACUUUAUUUUGAGCAGUUUCUGGUUUAAGCCUGGGGGCAGAGGUGCAGGGGCAAGUCAUUUCACUGAUCUUAUGCAAACUCUCCUUGGCUGCAAAUGAGGAUAACCCUGCCCUGACUGCCUUGGAGCAUUAGUAAGCAUAAUGCAGACAAGAUGUUCUUUGUACUUGCUCAGGAGUAUGGACCACUCUCUACAUUCUUCCUUCCUGCUAGACACACAUGGCCCUGGAGGAGGAACUAGUAUCCCAGGCACCAAGGCUGUUCCAACUGACAACCCAAGGAAGGAAGAAGGAUCAUUUAACAUGAUGGCAGUGUUUGUUCCUGGGCUCCCCAUCGACCUUCACAUCCUCACUUAGCUGCCUUUUUGUUCCCAGGCUGGAGCCACACAGACCUGUGGCACCCCUGAAGCAGCUUUUAUCCUUACUGUGCUCUAAAAACAGAGAAGAAGAAAAUAUAUGGAUGUAUCUGAAAGAAACUUAACAUUCCAGCCUAGAAUGAGGAAGGGGCCAACCAGCCAUGUGGUGCUGCUGCUCCGGGAUCAGAUGAAAAUGGGGAAGAUGUCUAUCUUAUUUAACCAUUUAAAACACACAUGUGAUUAAUAUUUAUAUUAAUUUUAAACUUUCAUACUGUAUUGAAAAUAAAACAUUAGAUCAUUAAUUCA